ACAACCCACGUCUCACCUGAUAAUGUAACUUCCCAGUUCUCCCUCAACUCUUCCACUUCUUUCUUCGACUAAAUCAAAAAAAAAAAAGACAUACAUUAAAUCUCUCUACAGAGAUAACGCAGUCCUGCAACUUAGUUAGGGUUUGUAAAAUUUCUUCUUUUAUGAUUUCUGAACUAGGUUGCAAAGUAAUUUUAGUUGAUUUUGUUUAAAUCAUCUAUUUUUGUACUAUUUAUGCAUUUUCUGAACCGAUGUAGUUUAUCUUCUUCAAUUUCUUUGAUGUUGGAACAGAUUUCGAAUCAAGAACUCAAACAAUUUCUUCCUUUGUUUGUUGAUUUAUAGCUAGGGUUGUACUUCUACAAGCUGGAAUGAAAUUUCACUACUUUCCCCUAUGCAGAACCUGAUCCUGCGGGUAAUUAAAGAUUUGGAACUUUUGUCUAUUUAAUCUAGGGUUCACAUAGAAUCGAUUCUCCUGAUUUUGAUCUCUUGCAGCUAGGGUUUGAAGUUUCUCUUCUAAUAAGGUUUGAAUUGAAUUCUUUUUUCGUACUGAAGUAGAUUUGAAAAUCAGGAAACUGAACAAUUUUUACCAAUGGAGGUUUGAAUCUAAUAAGGUAUGAAUUGAAUUCUUUGGGGUUGGAUUGUAGUUUCCUGAAACUAGUAUGAAUUAUUUGCUUGUUUGUUUGAGAUACGGAAAUCAUACAAUUAGAAUUAUUUUAAACCUAAACUUUUGAAUUAGGUUUUAAGAUUAUAAUCAAUGGAGGUGUUGCUGCUCAUCUCCAUCUCGAAAUUCAGUGAGUUGUGAAUAGAUUUCUUGUGUUCUUCGUUUGGUUAAUUCCUGGUAAUAACCCACAACCACUCAUCAUCUGUCAACUCAGAACCCUAACUUUAUGUUCAUUGUCAAGUUAUUAAGCUCUUAGAUCUAGUAUUUAAAAAUUGGCAGGGAAAGCAAAGAUGGUAGAGAAAAAUUGGUAUCUUAAUAGCUUGUGAGACAGAAAGUACCCAACUGAACAAACAGUUAACUAGCUCAGGGCACCAGAAAGCAAUGGGAAAAGACAGAGAUUCAAGCUCAAAUACAUCUUCCCUUUUGGGUAAGAAGAAAAGUAACUUGGCAUUGCAUAUAUAUUGUCUUGAAAGCAAACUUGCUUACCGUUAUCUGUCUAACAGCUCCAAGGUACUUUCUCUAGAUUAACUUUUCUGACAACAAGUUGAAAUAAUUUUUUUUUUAUAACAUUGUAGCAAACUAUUUAUGCAUUGUUACUUAGCAUCAAAAUAGAAAUACUUUUAUAGUGUAUUUGCAUGGAUUUUCUUUUCUAUGAUGACUAAUGAUUCAUAAGAAACACCAGAGAUUUUUGCAUGAUUAUCUUCAGAUAUUUUUCUAAGUUAAGUAGGAUCAGAACAAAAAGAUGUAUGAUAAUUUUUAGGUAAAAGGAAUGUUUACUAUUUAUCUCGUAGUUAGGGGCACUGGAGUCUUUUAAAUCUAUCACUUGCAAGUAUUGUGAUUAACAGGGGUAGUACUUCAUUGUAAUGCAUGCUUUGUGCAAUGUUCAAUCCUGUACAGUUGUCAUAGCUAUUGUUGUGUUGCAUGUAUCUGCUUUCAUAUAUGAUAUCCUUUAUCCAGUUUGGUGUUCUUAGUUGGUACAACAUUAAGUUAGAAUGGAUGACGUUGCAUACAUGAUGCAUUUGUUAUUGGAUCUCCUUUCUAGGUCCUUGUUACUUAUCACAAUCUAAUGUCCUGUUAUUGAGUUUUAGUUACUUUAUGUUGUCAUGUUCCUGUCAACUAUGUCAGGAUUUCCAUGUUCUUACUUGGAAUUUUUCUUCAGUAGUUCCACGCUUUGCUUGUGGUUUUGUCAUGGUUGAUUGUGUCAUUUGUUUUUCAUAGAAAAUGUUCCAUGUUAGGUUUAUAUGAUGUCCUGUCGACAGUUAUUGAUCGGUUCCUCUUGUUAUGUCAGACUCAAAAAAAACACAUCAAGUCGAUGCUUAGAAGGAACUGGUUAGAAAAAGAUAAAGGUUGCUUGCUUUCUUGCUGAUGUUUAUAUUUGCCCGCUGAAAAUGCAAAGUAAAAUUGCCAUUCACUUGCACACAAGCAACAUGAAGAUCUUAUGAUUCCUUAUCCAAUCCUCCAUUAAAGGUUGAAGCGGAAAGGGGAGACAUCUUACAAGAAUCUCAUAGGCUUCCAGAGAAACCAGUUCAAUCUUGAUUUCAGUAUAUAUUCUCCCCUGAAAUUGUUUGUUCCAGUUCUAGUACCUCUUGUCAGUCAUGUAUUUUUUAUUUUAUUUUUUUCAAUAUCGUAAUUUGAAUUUAGGAUUAUUUAAUUUGACGGGGUAGCUUAUUGUGGCUGAAUCUUCUUAAUGUAUUUAGCUCUCUUUAAUGAAUCAAUGAAAGCUUUUACUAUUUUUUUCCUACU